rnacentral:rRNA from 1 species
GAUGAACGCUAGCGGCAGGCUUAACACAUGCAAGUCGAGGGGCAUCGAGAGUAGCAAUACUUGUCGGCGACCGGCGCAAGGGUGCGUAACACGUGAGCAACAUACCCGUUUCAGGAGGAUAACCGGAGGAAACUCUGCCUAAUACUCCAUGACAUCAUCAAACGGCAUCGUUUGAUGAUUAAAGAUUUAUCGGAAACGGCUUGGCUCGCGGGACAUUAGCUUGUUGGUGAGGUAACGGCUCACCAAGGCUACGAUGUCUAGGGGUUCUGAGAGGAAGGUCCCCCACACUGGAACUGAGACACGGUCCAGACUCCUACGGGAGGCAGCAGUGAGGAAUAUUGGACAAUGGUCGGAAGACUGAUCCAGCCAUGCCGCGUGAAGGUUACUGUCCUAUGGAUAUUAAACUUCUUUUGUAUGAGAGCAAUAAGGUGCACGCGUGCACCGAUGAGAGUAUUAUACGAAUAAGCAUCGGCUAACUCCGUG